UACGUAGGGUGCGAGCGUUGUCCGGAAUUACUGGGCGUAAAGAGUUCGUAGGCGGUUUGUCGCGUCGUUCGUGAAAAACUUGGGGCUUAACUCCAAGCGUGCGGGCGAUACGGGGCAGACUUGAGUACUACAGGGGAGACUGGAAUUCCUGGUGUAGCGGUGAAAUGCGCAGAUAUCAGGAGGAACACCGGUGGCGAAGGCGGGUCUCUGGGUAGUAACUGACGCUGAGGAACGAAAGCGUGGGUAGCGAACAGG
rnacentral:rRNA from 1 species